UCUCCGUUGGUGAACCAGCGGAGGGAUCAUUACAGGAUCGAAAGACUCCUAUAACCCCUGUGAACUUACUACAAAUACGUUGCUUCGGCGGGUGCCCCGGGUCUCCCGGGGCGUUCAGCCCGCCGGCAGCCUUCAAAUUCUGUUUCUUUGCGUUGGCAUCUCGAGUAUACAAAAAUAAGUUAAAACUUUCAACAACGGAUCUCUUGGUUCUGGCAUCGAUGAAAACGCAGC
rnacentral:misc_RNA from 1 species